UCCCUGGAGGACUAGUGGUUAGGCCUUGGUGCUCUCACCGCCAUGACCAGGGUUCAAAUCCCUGACCCAGGGAA